rnacentral:rRNA from 1 species
GGAGCUUGCUCCUUUGACGUUAGCGGCGGACGGGUGCUUAAUCACGUAGGUAACCUACCUAUAAGACUGGGAUAACUUCGCGGAAACCGGAGCUAAUACCGGAUAAUAUUUCGAACCGCAUGGUUCGAUAGUGAAAGAUGGCUUUGCUAUCACUUAUAGAUGGACCUGCGCCGUAUUAGCUAGUUGGUAAGGUAACGGCUUACCAAGGCAACGAUACGUAGCCGACCUGAGAGGGUGAUCGGCCACACUGGAACUGAGACACGGUCCAGACUCCUACGGGAGGCAGCAGUAGGGAAUCUUCCGCAAUGGGCGAAAGCCUGACGGAGCAACGCCGCGUGAGUGAUGAAGGUCUUCGGAUCGUAAAACUCUGUUAUUAGGGAAGAACAAACGUGUAAGUAACUGUGCACGUUUUGACGGUACCUAAUCAGAAAGCCACGGCUAACUACGUGCCAGCAGCCGCGGUAAUACGUAGGUGGCAAGCGUUAUCCGGGAAAUUAUUUGGGCGUAAAAGCGGCGCGUAGGCGGGUUUUUUUAAGUCUGAUGUGAAAAGCCCCCGGCUCAACCGUGGAGGGUCAUUGGAAAACUGGAAAAACUUUGAGUGCAGAAGAAGAAAAGGGGAAUCCCAUGUG